AUAGCAGAUGGCCCCACUUUCUUUAUGAUUGGACUGGAUGAUCCACUUGGGACAAGUGUCGUUAUCUCCUGAGACAAGUCAUCUCAGUCAUCUCCCACUUGCCAGCAAUUCCUUAUAAUUAGGACAAUGUUAUGGCUGGACCUCAAACAAAGAGGGCUUCCUGAUGGUUUCAUCCCUCAAAGUCAUAUUUAUCCCAGAAGCCACCUCUAUUGUACAAUUCCAGGUAAAGGAUUUAGCCAAGCACGCAACAGCGCUCCUGGUAAAAUAAGCCUCAAAGCUCACUCCUGGACAAUCUCUGACUGUAACGACUUCACAUCAGGUCCAGAGUGUCGUGUCUUAGAGACCAAAGACCACCAACAGAUGAUGGGAGGCCGGCUUAUUAAACACCAGGCUACGCUUAUAGAUAUGCCUGAGAUAUACUUGAAACCCAGCUACCCUUCUGCCUGGACCUGAGCAUCAUACUUCCUUAAGCACAACUGUUCAGAGUGCUCUAUUGAUUUUGUAUAUUCUAGUCGACCAGAUGUAAAAGCUUCCCCUAUCAAAAAUGCAGAUGACAGUUGGCUUACUGAUGGCAACAGUGUUGUCAUAGAAAAGAGAGUGAGAAAAGCUGGGCAUGCUAUAGCACUCAAUCGUGCUUUGCAAUUAGCAAAGCCUUAAAAAUUAAUAUUUGUACUGACUCCAAAUAUGCUUUCCUAGUCUUACAUGCCCACAGUGCAAUUUAGAAGAAAAGGGAAUAAUUAUCAAGCCAUAACUCUCCAAUCAAAUAUGGGCCUGAAAUUAUUACUCUUCUUGAGGCUGUACACCUACCUAAGGAGGUAGCUGUAAUUCAAAAGACUUCAGAGGAUAAGACCUUAGAACCUAAAGGAAGCACACAAUAAACAAAUAUUAAGUAUUUUACCAGUCUUAACUCCAAUGAAGACCAUAAGUCCAGUUUAUUCACCCCAAGAAAUGCACAAGACUGGCUUGUUAAUAAUGAGAAAAAAAUCUUUAUACCCAGAAAUAACCAAUGGAAGAUAAUACAGCGUUUAUACCAGGCUACUAAUUUGGGUAAAAAAGGCCAUGGACAUGACCAGAAAAAACAAAAACAGAAACAAAAAAAAA
rnacentral:lncRNA from 1 species